rnacentral:rRNA from 1 species
GGUUUCAACUUGAGAGUUUGAUCCUGGCUCAGAACGAACGCUGGCGGCAGGCUUAACACAUGCAAGUCAGGCGAGACCUUCGGGUCUAGCGGCGGACGGGUGAGUAACGCGUGGGAACGUGCCCUUCUCUACGGAAUAGCCCCGGAAACUGGGAGUAAUACCGUAUACGCCCUUUGGGGAAAGAUUUAUCGGAGAAGGAUCGGCCCGCGUUGGAUUAGGUAGUUGGUGGGGUAAUGGCCCACCAAGCCGACGAUCCAUAGCUGGUUUGAGAGGAUGAUCAGCCACACUGGGACUGAGACACGGCCCAGACUCCUACGGGAGGCAGCAGUGGGAAUCUUAGACAAUGGGGCAACCCUGAUCUAGCCAUGCCGCGUGAGUGAUGAAGGCCUUAGGGUUGUAAAGCUCUUUCAGCUGGGAAGAUAAUGACGGUACCAGCAGAAGAAGCCCGGCUAACUCCGUGCCAGCAGCCGCGGUAAUACGGAGGGCUAGCGUUGUUCGGAAUUACUGGGCGUAAAGCGCACGUAGGCGGACUGGAAAGUCAGAGGUGAAAUCCCAGGGCUCAACCUUGGAACUGCCUUUGAAACUAUCAGUCUGGAGUUCGAGAGAGGUGAGUGGAAUUCCGAGUGUAGAGGUGAAAUUCGUAGAUAUUCGGAGGAACACCAGUGGCGAAGGCGGCUCACUGGCUCGAUACUGACGCUGAGGUGCGAAAGCGUGGGAGCAAACAGGAUUAGAUACCCUGGUAGUCCACGCCGUAAACGAUGAAUGCCAGACGUCGGCAAGCAUGCUUGUCGGUGUCACACCUAACGGAUUAAGCAUUCCGCCUGGGAGUACGGUCGCAAGAUUAAAACUCAAAGGAAUUGACGGGGCCCGCACAAGCGGUGGAGCAUGGUUUAAUUCGAAGCAACGCGCAGAACCUUACCAACCCUUGACAUGGCAGGACCGCUGGAGAUUCAGCUUUCUCGUAAGAGACCUGCACACAGGUGCUGCAUGGCUGUCGUCAGCUCGUGUCGUGAGAUGUUCGGUUAAGUCCGGCAACGAGCGCAACCCACGUCCCUAGUUGCCAGCAUUCAGUUGGGCACUCUAUGGAAACUGCCGAUGAUAAGUCGGAGGAAGGUGUGGAUGACGUCAAGUCCUCAUGGCCCUUACGGGUUGGGCUACACGUGCUACAAUGGUGGUGACAGUGGGUUAAUCCCCAAAGCCAUCUCAGUUCGGAUUGUCCUCUGCAACUCGAGGGCAUGAAGUUGGAAUCGCUAGUAAUCGCGGAACAGCAUGCCGCGGUGAAUACGUUCCAGGCCUUGUACACACCGCCCGUCACACCAUGGGAGUUGGUUCUACCCGACGACGCUGCGCUAACCUUCGGGGGCAGGCGGCCACGGUAGGAUCAGCGACUGGGGUGAAGUCGUAACAAGGUAGCCGUAGGGGAACCUGCGGCUGGAUCACCUCCUUU